UUAAUUGAAGAGUUUGAUCAUGGCUCAGAUUGAACGCUGGCGGCAGGCCUAACACAUGCAAGUCGAGCGGUAGCACAAGAGAGCUUGCUCUCUGGGUGACGAGCGGCGGACGGGUGAGUAAUGUCUGGGAAACUGCCUGAUGGAGGGGGAUAACUACUGGAAACGGUAGCUAAUACCGCAUGACGUCUUCGGACCAAAGUGGGGGACCUUCGGGCCUCACGCCAUCAGAUGUGCCCAGAUGGGAUUAGCUAGUAGGUGGGGUAAUGGCUCACCUAGGCGACGAUCUCUAGCUGGUCUGAGAGGAUGACCAGCCACACUGGAACUGAGACACGGUCCAGACUCCUACGGGAGGCAGCAGUGGGGAAUAUUGCACAAUGGGCGCAAGCCUGAUGCAGCCAUGCCGCGUGUAUGAAGAAGGCCUUCGGGUUGUAAAGUACUUUCAGCGAGGAGGAAGGCAUUGUGGUUAAUAACCACAGUGAUUGACGUUACUCGCAGAAGAAGCACCGGCUAACUCCGUGCCAGCAGCCGCGGUAAUACGGAGGGUGCAAGCGUUAAUCGGAAUUACUGGGCGUAAAGCGCACGCAGGCGGUUGAUUAAGUCAGAUGUGAAAUCCCCGAGCUUAACUUGGGAACUGCAUUUGAAACUGGUCAGCUAGAGUCUUGUAGAGGGGGUAGAAUUCCAGGUGUAGCGGUGAAAUGCGUAGAGAUCUGGAGGAAUACCGGUGGCGAAGGCGGCCCCCUGGACAAAGACUGACGCUCAGGUGCGAAAGCGUGGGGAGCAAACAGGAUUAGAUACCCUGGUAGUCCACGCUGUAAACGAUGUCGACUUGGAGGUUGUGCCCUUGAGGCGUGGCUUCCGGAGCUAACGCGUUAAGUCGACCGCCUGGGGAGUACGGCCGCAAGGUUAAAACUCAAAUGAAUUGACGGGGGCCCGCACAAGCGGUGGAGCAUGUGGUUUAAUUCGAUGCAACGCGAAGAACCUUACCUACUCUUGACAUCCAGAGAAUUUGCUAGAGAUAGCUUAGUGCCUUCGGGAACUCUGAGACAGGUGCUGCAUGGCUGUCGUCAGCUCGUGUUGUGAAAUGUUGGGUUAAGUCCCGCAACGAGCGCAACCCUUAUCCUUUGUUGCCAGCGCGUAAUGGCGGGAACUCAAAGGAGACUGCCGGUGAUAAACCGGAGGAAGGUGGGGAUGACGUCAAGUCAUCAUGGCCCUUACGAGUAGGGCUACACACGUGCUACAAUGGCAUAUACAAAGAGAAGCGAACUCGCGAGAGCAAGCGGACCUCAUAAAGUAUGUCGUAGUCCGGAUUGGAGUCUGCAACUCGACUCCAUGAAGUCGGAAUCGCUAGUAAUCGUAGAUCAGAAUGCUACGGUGAAUACGUUCCCGGGCCUUGUACACACCGCCCGUCACACCAUGGGAGUGGGUUGCAAAAGAAGUAGGUAGCUUAACCUUCGGGAGGGCGCUUACCACUUUGUGAUUCAUGACUGGGGUGAAGUCGUAACAAGGUAACCGUAGGGGAACCUGCGGUUGGAUCACCUCCUUACCUAAAGA
rnacentral:rRNA from 1 species